CCGUGCCCAAGAGAUCGGGAUAACACCUGGAAACAGAUGCUAAUACCGGAUAACAACAGAUGAUGCCUAUCAACUGUUUAAAAAGAUGGUUCUGCUAUCACUCUUGGAUGGACCUGCGGUGCAUUAGCUAGUUGGUAGGGUAACGGCCUACCAAGGCGAUGAUGCAUAGCCGAGUUGAGAGACUGAUCGGCCACAUUGGGACUGAGACACGGCCCAAACUCCUACGGGAGGCAGCAGAG
rnacentral:rRNA from 1 species